GCAGGCCCCCAUUCAAACUGUUUCGAGCUCCAUUCACAAAUGAAACACUAGCUUCUUCCUCCGUCGCACGAGCUGCUUCUUCCGUCGCUGCCGCCGCCGCCACUUGCGUCGCACAAUCUCUCUGUCAUCUCUGGCAUCGCACGAGAUCCCUCCACGGCCGCUCUCGUCGCGUCUACUCCCAUUGUUGCAGAGCUCUCUCUGACGCCGCUCUCAUUGCAUCUGCUCCCUCUGGCGCCUCUUCCAUCUAAUCUCAACUCGCUCUCUCAGUUCUUCUCGUAACCACCUCAAAUUUCAGGCACUAAAAACCAGCAACUAUGGCUCUGAACCUAUGCUUCAAAAUUGUGGAAUUUCUAUAAGCACUGGCUUUACUCAAGUGGAUGGUCGUGUUCUGCCUUCGCCAAGGAAGAGGCAAUUCGAAGAUCUACUGCACAAGAGCAGGAUGAUAUUCAAGCUUUGAGGUUUGUUACCUUAUUUAUAUAUAUAAAGGAUUCUGUUAUACUUGCUGUAUUUGUUACCUUAUUUCUGGUUUUGGAACCUUUUAAGUUGUAACUCCAUAUUUAUAAUUUUGUCCUGUGAAGUGUUAGCUCGUAGAGAAGUAGUAAUUAGCGUAUGUAUCACAUUCACAACUGUGGCGCUAACAUUGCACUCUAUCUGUUUGUAUAAAUGUCUCACCCAAUAACUGAAAUUUUUUUGCAGCAAAACCGUGUUAUUUUUAUUCUUGUAACAAUUACAGCUUUAGAUACAUGGAAACCAAGUCAUUUGAGGAACCUUAUUCCACCAACGAUGAGGUCUACUUGCAAAAUGCAAGUGAUGAAGAUGAUAAUGACAGUACCUUUUCUUCCAGUUCCACCACCAAGUUACAGUUCAGAUACAAAAAAGAAAUAUAUGAACUUGUAAAGAAGCGGUCAGAGGAGGCUGACAAUGUCAAUGAGAUAAUCAAUAACUUUUCCAUGUGUGUCAUCUCCAGGUCUAUUUAUUCAUUCACUGUUGAUUAUUGUUUUAUUGUUCAUUGCCGAUGGUCUUGCUGUUGCUGGGCAAGUUGAUACCUCUCUGUUUACAUAAUGCCAAAUCUAUGUUUGCUGGGCAGCUUGAGUAUUACAGAUGGUUUGGUUCUGGGAUUGGCUCUUGCAUUCAUUCUUGGUGUAGGACUUCCUUUUGGAGCUAAACUAUUUACAAGAGAUGUUGAUGUCCUCCACCUCAUAAAAAUUGGAAUACUUUUUGUUGCAGCCACCCAACCCAUCAAUGCUUUGGCAUUUGUAUUUUUGCAGACUAUAAUCUAUCUCCUUACGUGAGAUGGUUAUUACAACCCUGGGUGAUCUGCAUGGGCUCUAUCCGGGGAUCAUUAUUGCAAAAUAAGGUUUUGAGGAUUAAGGAUAAGUCUACUGAUCAGUUUGGAUGAGAUGGCGUCUUCACAAAAUGUCGAGUUGGAGGCAGCCAACUUUCUGCACAAACUUACUCAGGAUUCUAAAGAUGAGCCAGCUAAGCUGGCUACUAAACUCCAUGUUAUAUUACAACAUAUGAAAUCCAGCGGGAAGGAACAUUCAAUGCCAUAUCAAGUGAUAUCAAGGGCUAAAUUUAUAUCUGCAGAAGAAAGAGUUGGUGUCACUUUUGAUGAUUUUCCUGGCCAGGAAUAUAUAAAGAGGGAAUUGUGAGAGAUUGUACAAAUUUUAAAGAAUGAUGAGGAGUUUCAAGACAAAGGAAUUUAUUGUCCAAAAGGUGUGCUUCUCGAUGGACCUCCAGGAACUGGUAAAACUCUACUGGCUAAAGCCAUCGCUGGGGAAGCAGGGUUGCCUUUUUUUGCGGCAAAUGGCACAGAUUUUGUAGAGGUCUGACAUUGAUCAGAGUGUGCUGGUUGUGAUCGUACCUAGAUCAUAUGCUCUACUCUGUAAAUGAAUGAAACUUAUACCCAUGAAGUGUGGAAUAUUGAAUGCAUAAAAAUUGUCUUCAUCUUUAAAGUUAAAAAUUUUUUAUUUGUUCUUCUCCCAGAUGUUUGUAGGGGUUGCUGCAUCACGUGUUAAGGAUCUUUUUCUUCUGCCUUCGUCCGUAUUUAUUUAUAAGAGGUGCUUGUGAUAGGUCGUUUUGACAAGAUCAUUCGAGUUGGUUUGCCAUUUUGAAGGUGAUUUCCUCCUCCGACAAUUUAUGCAUAAUGAACCUUGCUUCAAGAAGUAUUUCAUUGUCUGUAUCCAUCUUUUUUCGUGUAUAAACUAGGUGCAUGCUAGGAAUAAAUUCUUUAAUUAUCGACGAAAAAUCCGUCGGAAAAUUUGUCUCUAAUUACCGACGAAAAAUCCGUCGGAAAAUUUGUCUCUAAUUACCGACGAAAAAUCCGACGGAAAAUCUGUCUCUAGUUACAGACGGAAAAUCCGUCGGAAAGUUUGACGCUAGGGGAAAUGGAGGGGAAAAUUUACAGAGAAAAAAUCUGUCAGUAACUGGUAAAAAUCAAUCUGUCGGUAAAUAAUUUCCGACGAGGCUUUUACAGAGGGACAAAAUCUGUCGGUAAUUUCGUCGGUAAUUAAAAAUCCGUCUGUAAUAUAGACCAAAUCUGUCUGUAUUAAGCAAUUUUCUAGUUGUGUAAAGUUAAUUUUUUUAUGAUUA